rnacentral:rRNA from 1 species
AUUGAACGCUGGCGGCAGGCCUAACACAUGCAAGUCGAACGAGUGGCGGACGGGUGAGUAAUGUCUGGGAAACUGCCCGAUGGAGGGGGAUAACUACUGGAAACGGUAGCUAAUACCGCCUACCAUCGGAUGUGCCCAGAUGGGAUUAGCUAGUAGGUGGGGUAACGGCUCACCUAGGCGCCGAUCCCUAGCUGGUCUGAGAGGGUGACCAGCAACACUGGAACGGAGACACGGUCCAGACUCCUACGUGAGGCAGCAGUGGGGAAUUUUGGACAAUGGGGGAAACCCUGAGCCAGCCAUCCCGCGUGAGCGAUGAAGGCCUUCGGUUGGUAAAGCACUUUUGGCAGGGAAGCGGUACCUGCAGAAUAAGCACCGGCUAACUACGUGCCAGCCGCCGCGGUAAUAC